CUACGGGGGGCUGCAGUGAGGAAUUUUGCGCAAUGGGCGAAAGCCUGACGCAGCAACGCCGCGUGAGUGAUGAAGGCCUUCGGGUCGUAAAGCUCUGUCAAGUGGGAAGAACCUAUGUAAUGUUAAUAUCAUUAUAUACUGACGGUACCACUGAAGGAAGCACCGGCUAGCUCCGUGCCAGCAGCCGCGGUAAUACGGGGGGUGCAAGCGUUAUUCGGAAUCAUUGGGCGUAAAGGGCACGUAGGCGGCCUGGUAAGUCAGAUGGGAAAGCCCGGGGCUUAACCCCGGAAGUGCAUUUGAUACUGUCAGGCUUGAGUAUGGGAGAGGGAAGUGGAAUUCCUGGUGUAGAGGUGAAAUUCGUAGAUAUCAGGAGGAACACCGGUGGCGAAGGCGACUUCCUGGACCAAUACUGACGCUGAGGUGCGAAGGCGUGGGUAGCAAACAGGAUUAGAUACCCGAGUAGUC
rnacentral:rRNA from 1 species